GCCGAAGUGGUGGAAUUGGUAGACACGCUAGGUUCAGGGUCUAGUGGGGGUUCCCUCGUAGGAGUUCGAGUCUCCUCUUCGGCACCA
rnacentral:tRNA from 1 species